rnacentral:rRNA from 1 species
CCGUGACAAACCGGAGGAAGGUGGGGAUGACGUCAAGUCCUCAUGGCCCUUAUGGGUAGGGCUUCACACGUCAUACAAUGGUCGGUACAGAGGGUUGCCAAGCCGCGAGGUGGAGCCAAUCCCUUAAAGCCGAUCGUAGUCCGGAUCGUAGUCUGCAACUCGACUACGUGAAGUCGGAAUCGCUAGUAAUCGCAGAUCAGCAUGCUGCGGUGAAUACGUUCCCGGGUCCUU